rnacentral:rRNA from 1 species
CUGCCCCUGUCAGGGGGACAACCCGCCGAAAGGCGGGCUAAACCCGCGUACAUGCCACCGGGGCAUCCCGGAGGCAGGAAAGGCUUCGGCCGGACAGGGAUGGGCAUGCGGCGCAUUAGGCAGUAGGCGGGGUAACGGCCCACCUAACCGACGAUGCGUAGGGGUUCUGAGAGGAAGGUCCCCCACACUGGUACUGAGACACGGACCAGACUCCUACGGGAGGCAGCAGUGAGGAAUAUUGGUCAAUGGUCGGGAGACUGAACCAGCCAAGCCGCGUGAGGGAUGAAGGUACAGAGUAUCGUAAACCUCUUUUGUCAGGGAACAAAGGCGGGGACGUGUCCCCGGAUGAGUGUACCUGAAGAAAAAGCAUCGGCUAACUCCGUGCCAGCAGCCGCGGUAAUACGGAGGAUGCGAGCGUUAUCCGGAUUUAUUGGGUUUAAAGGGUGCGCAGGCGGUCUGUUAAGUCAGCGGUCAAAGCCCGGGGCUCAACCCCGGCCCGCCGUUGAAACUGGCAGUCUCGAGUUGGAGAGAAGUAUGCGGAAUGCGCGGUGUAGCGGUGAAAUGCAUAGAUAUCGCGCAGAACUCCGAUUGCGAAGGCAGCAUGCCGGCUCCACACUGACGCUGAGGCACGAAAGCGUGGGUAUCGAACAGGAUUAGAUACCCUGGUAGUCCACGCAGUAAACGAUGAAUGCUG